rnacentral:rRNA from 1 species
UACGGAGGAUGCAAGCGUUAUCCGGAAUGAUUGGGCGUAAAGCGUCCGCAGGUGGCUGUGUAAGUCUGCUGUUAAAGAGUGAGGCUCAACCUCAUAAAAGCAGUGGAAACUACACGGCUAGAGUGCGUUCGGGGCAGAGGGAAUUCCUGGUGUAGCGGUGAAAUGCGUAGAUAUCCGGAGGAACACCGGUGGCGAAGGCGGCUUCCUGGACCGACACUGACGCUGAGGCGCGAAAGCUAGGGGAGCAAACGGG